UACGGAGGGUGCAAGCGUUAUCCGGAUUCACUGGGUUUAAAGGGUGCGUAGGUGGGCAGGUAAGUCAGUGGUGAAAUCUCCGGGCUUAACCCGGAAACUGCCGUUGAUACUAUCUGUCUUGAAUGUAGUGGAGGUGAGCGGAAUAUGUCAUGUAGCGGUGAAAUGCUUAGAUAUGACAUAGAACACCAAUUGCGAAGGCAGCUCACUACACAAUCAUUGACGCUGAGGCACGAAAGCGUGGGGAUCAAACAGG
rnacentral:rRNA from 1 species